rnacentral:rRNA from 1 species
GAUGAACGCUGGCGGCGUGCCUAAUACAUGCAAGUCGAGCGAACAGACGAGGAGCUUGCUCCUCUGACGUUAGCGGCGGACGGGUGAGUAACACGUGGAUAACCUACCUAUAAGACUGGGAUAACUUCGGGAAACCGGAUCUAAUACCGGAUAAUAUAUUGAACCGCAUGGUUCGAUAGUGAAAGACGGUUUUGCUGUCACUUAUAGAUGGAUCCGCGCCGCAUUAGCUAGUUGGUAAGGUAACGGCUUACCAAGGCAACGAUGCGUAGCCGACCUGAGAGGGUGAUCGGCCACACUGGAACUGAGACACGGUCCAGACUCCUACGGGAGGCAGCAGUAGGGAAUCUUCCGCAAUGGGCGAAAGCCUGACGGAGCAACGCCGCGUGAGUGAUGAAGGUCUUCGGAUCGUAAAACUCUGUUAUUAGGGAAGAACAAAUGUGUAAGUAACUAUGCACGUCUUGACGGUACCUAAUCAGAAAGCCACGGCUAACUACGUG